rnacentral:tRNA from 1 species
CGGACCCCAUAAAACCGCAUAUUUCCUGCUUUGGGAGCAGGAUGUCGUAGGUUCGAAUCCUAUCGCCCCGACCA